AGUGAACGCUGGCGGUAGGCCUAACACAUGCAAGUCGAACGGCAGCACAGUAAGUUCUUGCUCUUACGGGUGGCGAGUGGCGGACGGGUGAGGAAUACAUCGGAAUCUACUUUUUCGUGGGGGAUAACGUAGGGAAACUUACGCUAAUAUCGCAUACGACCUACGGGUGAAAGCAGGGGAUCUUCUGACCUUGCGCGAUUGAAUUAGCCGAUGUCGGAUUAGCUAGUUGGCGGGGUAACGGCCCACCAAGGCGACGAUCCGUAGCUGGUCUGAGAGGAUGGUCAGCCACACUGGAACUGAGACACGGUCCAGACUCCUACGGGAGGCAGCAGUGGGGAAUAUUGGACAAUGGGCGCAAGCAUGAUCCAGCCAGACCGCGUGGGUGAAGAAGGCCUUCGGGUUGUAAAGCCCUUUUGUUGGGAAAGAAAAGCAGCAGGUUAAUACCCCGCUGUUCUGACGGUACCCAAAGAAUAAGCACCGGCUAACUUCGUG
rnacentral:rRNA from 1 species